rnacentral:rRNA from 1 species
GACGAAUGCUGGCUGCGUGUUUAGCACAUGCAAGUCGAACGGUGAACAGGGGCUUGCCCCUGGGAUCAGUGGCGAACGGGUGAGUAACACGUGGGCAACCUGCCCCUCACUCUGGGAUAACUCCGGGAAACCGGGGCUAAUACCGGAUACGACCUGGUGCGACAUCGCACCGGGUGGAAAGAACUUCGGUGAGGGAUGGGCCCGCGGCCUAUCAGCUUGUUGGUGGGGUAACGGCCCACCAAGGCGACGACGGGUAGCCGGCCUGAGAGGGCGACCGGCCACACUGGGACUGAGACACGGCCCAGACUCCCACGGGAGGCAGCAGUGGGGAAUAUUGCGCAAUGGGCGAAAGCCUGACGCAGCGACGCAGCGUGAGGGACGAAGGCCUUCGGGUUGUAAACCUCUUUCAGCGGGGACGAAGCGCAAGUGACGGUACCCGCAGAAGAAGCACCGGCUAACUACGUGCCAGCCGCCGCCGCAG